GGGAGUGAAAUAGAACCUGAAACCCUGCACUUACAAGCUGUGGAAGCACAUUUCUUGUGUGACCGCGUACUUUUUGUAGAACGGGCCAACGAGUUACGUUAAGUAGCUAGGUUAAGCACUUAAGGUGUGGAGCCGUAGCGAAAGCGAGUUUUAACUGAGCGUUCAGUUACUUGACGUAGACCCGAAACCGGGCGACAUACCCAUGAGCACGUUGAAGCGAAAGGAACAUUACGUG
rnacentral:rRNA from 1 species